GUUCUGGUCCAGUUGGAGCGACGCCUCGGCCAGGUAACUCACCUCCGCCGUGAUGGAGAACACGAGAACGGUGUUCAGAACGACGGGCAGUGAAAGAGAAAUUAUGUCUACCUGGUAUAUGGACGGUGUCGGGGAGAACCGAGAUGGUUAUACAAAACAGGGACCAGAACUUCUGCUACAGAGUGAGCACGGGAGGAUGAAGCUGCAGAGUAACCUUGUGGUGAAAGAAGAGCAGCGAUCUGGCACAUGAGCUGGACAUCAAACCAGGUAAGAACCAUUGCUUCAUACAAUCUAAACUUGCUUAACUGUACACUAACUAACAAUGAACCAGCAACUAAACCCAAGCUAACUGUCAACAUUGGCCACACUGGCCCUAGCUGACUGUUAAAUGUAAUUGUUGAACUCAAAUCUGUGUGUGUGUGUGUGUGUGUGUGUAAUGUAAUUUACAAAAUAGCCUCCAACACUACUCAGCAAAUUGGAUGUAGUCUAUCACAGUGCCAUCUGUUUUGUCACCAAAGCCCCAUAUACUACCCACCACUGUGUAAAGGUUUUCUUCCAGGGGUGAAGGAGAGGACCAAAAUGCAGCGCGACUAGUGUUAAACAUGUUUAAUACAAACACAAGUGAAACACUACAAACAACCUACAAAAUAACAAAUGUGCAAAACCGAUACAGACCUAUCUGGUGCAGAACACAAACACAGAGACAGGUAACAAACACCCACAAAAUCCCAACACAAAACAAGCCUCCUAUAUAUGUGUCUCAAUCAGAGACAACGACUACCAUCUGUCUCUGAUUGAGAACUCACACCAGGCUGACAUAGAAACAGACAAACUAGACACACAACAUAGAAUUCCCACCCAGCUCACGUCCUGACCAACUAAACACAUACAAAACAACAGAAAACAGGUCAGGAACAUGACAGAACCCCCCCCUCAAGGUGCGAACUCCGGGCGCACCCCUAAAACUCAAGGGGAGGGUCUGAGUGGGCAUCUGUCCGCGGUGGCGGCUCCGGCGGUGGACGAGGGCACCACUCCACCAUUGUCUUUGUCCACCUCCCUAGCGUCCCUUGAGUGGCGACCCUCGCCCCCGACCAUGGUCCAGGAACCUUCACCAACUCCCCUCUACAAUAGAGGAGACAACUCAGGACAGAGAGGUAGUUCAGGACAAAGAGGUAGCCCAGGACAGAGAGGUAGCUCAGGACAGAGGGACAACUCCGGACUGGAGGGCAGCUCAUGACUGGAGGGCAGCUCAUGACUGGAGGGCAGCUCAUGACUGGAGGGCAGCUCAUGACUGGAGGGCAGCUCAUGACUGGAGGGCAGCUCAUGACUGGAGGGCAGCCUUGUGGUGAAAGACUGGCUGGCGGCUCUGGCGGCUCCUGACUGGCUGG